rnacentral:rRNA from 1 species
GGAGGGAUCAUUACCGAGUUUACAACUCCCAAACCCCUGUGAACAUACCUAUACGUUGCCUCGGCGGAUCAGCCCGCGCCCCGUAAAAAGGGACGGCCCGCCCGAGGACCCCUAAACUCUGUUUUUAGUGGAACUUCUGAGUAAAACAAACAAAUAAAUCAAAACUUUCAACAACGGAUCUCUUGGUUCUGGCAUCGAUGAAGAACGCAGCAAAAUGCGAUAAGUAAUGUGAAUUGCAGAAUUCAGUGAAUCAUCGAAUCUUUGAACGCACAUUGCGCCCGCCAGUAUUCUGGCGGGCAUGCCUGUUCGAGCGUCAUUUCAACCCUCAAGCUCAGCUUGGUGUUGGGACUCGCGGUAACCCGCGUUCCCCAAAUCGAUUGGCGGUCACGUCGAGCUUCCAUAGCGUAGUAAUCAUACACCUCGUUACUGGUAAUCGUCGCGGCCACGCCGUAAAACCCCAACUUCUGAAUGUUGACCUCGGAUCAGGUAGGAAUACCCGCUGAACUUAAGCAUAUCAAUAGCGGAGGAA